GAUGAACGCUAGCGACAGGCUUAACACAUGCAAGUCGAGCGAGCGGCGCACGGGUGAGUUACACGUAUCCACCCUCCGCUUUACUCGGGGAUAGCCUUUCGUAAGAAAGAUUAAUACCCGCUGUAAAGGAUGGGGAUGGGUUCUAUUGGGUUGUUGGUGAGGUAACGGCUCACCAAGGCUUCGAUGGAUAGGGGUUCGGAGAGGAAGGGCCCCGAGAUUGGAACUGAGACACGGGCCAAACUCCUACGGGCGGCAGCAGUGAGGGAUAUUGGUCAGUGGGCUUUAGCCUGACCCGGCCAAGUAGCGUGAAGGAUGGCGGCGUAUGGAUCGUAAACUUCGUUUUGAUAAGAGUCUGUAUUAGCUGAAUAAGGAUCGGCUAACUACGUGCCAGCAGCCGCGGUAAUAC
rnacentral:rRNA from 1 species